UUAGUUUUUGAAGUAUGGCCUGCCCGCUGACAUUUGGUGUUGAAGGGCCGCGGUAUUUUGACCGUGCAAAGGUAGCAUAAUCAUUAGUUCUUUAAUUGUGAUCUGGAAUGAAUGGCUUGACGAGGCACGGGCUGUCUUAGUGUUGAAUGUUUUAUUGAAUUUGGUCUUUGAGUUAAAAUUCUUAGAUGUUUUUGUGGGACGAGAAGACCCUAUAGAGUUUGACAUUUGGUUUAUUUACUUGUUUGUUGUUUGUUUAUUUUUGGUGAGUGGACUUUUUGUUUUGUUGGGGUGAUGGGAGGAAUAUACUUAACUCCUCUUAGUUUUGGUUAUAUUGAUUUAUAAUUGUUUGAUCCAUUUAUUUUGAUUGUAAGACUAAAUUACCUUAGGGAUAACAGCGUUAUCUUCCUUGAGAGUUCUUAUCGGCAGGGGGGUUUGCGACCUCGAUGUUGGAUUAAG
rnacentral:rRNA from 1 species